rnacentral:rRNA from 1 species
AAUUUAAAAAUUAUUAAUAUAUUAUUAAAAAUUAUUUGUUUAAUAAAAAUAUUUUUAAAAUUAAAUUUGUUUUAGUAUUUUUAAAAGAUAAAAUUUUUUUUAUUAUAGUUUAUUAGUAUUGUAAAAGAAAUUGUUAAUUAAAUAUAAUUAAUUUAUAUAAAAGUAAAUUUAAUUUAUUGUACCUUGUGUAUCAGGGUUUAAUAAAUAAAUUAUAUUUAUAAUAUUUUUCUCGAAUUUAAAAGAUUUAUUUUAAUAUAAUUUUUAUUGUAGUAAAAAUAUUUUAAAUAUUAAAAUGGAAAUGAAAUAUUAUUCAAUUUUAAAUAUAUCUAGUUUUUUAAUAAAUGAAUUUAAUUCAGAUAUUAUAUUAAAUUAAUUAAUUUUAUUAUAAUUUUUAUAUAAUAUUAAUAUUGUAAGGGAUUAGCUUUAUAAUAAAUUUUUAUAAUAAUAAUAAUAAAUUUUAAUUAAAUAGUCUUAGAAAUAGAUUUUAUUAUAAAAAUGUUAUAAUUUAAUUAAUUUAUAAUAUAAUUUUUAUUUAUUUAAUUUUUUAUUAAAAUGUAAAUAUAAAUAAUUUAUAAUUAAUAAUAAUGUUAGAAUUAGUAAAUUUUUUUUUGUUAAUUUAAUUAAUUAAUUGAAAGGUUAAUUUUAGGAAUUCGGCAAAAUAAUUAUAUUCACCUGUUUAACAAAAACAUGUCCUUUUGAAAAAAAUUUAAGGUCUAAUCUGCUCAAUGAAUUUUAAAAUUUAAAUGGCCGCAGUAUUUUGACUGUGCAAAGGUAGCAUAAUAAAUAGUCUUUUAAUUAAAGGCUAGAAUGAAUGAUUGGAUGAAAUAUAUACUGUCUUAAAUUAAAUAUUUAUUAAAUUUAAUUUUUAAGUUAAAAAGCUUAAAUUAAUUUAAAGGACGAGAAGACCCUAUAGAAUUUUAUAAAUUAAAAAUUAUAUUUAAUUAAAAUUUUUAAUAUAAUUUUUAAUUUAUUUUAUUGGGGUGAUAAAAAAAUUUAAUAAACUUUUUUAUUUUAAAACCAUAAAUUAAUGAAUUUUUGAUCCUAUAUUUUAGAUUAUUAGUUUAAAUUACCUUAGGGAUAACAGCGUUAUUUUUUUUAGAGUUCUUAUCAAUAAAAAAGAUUGCGACCUCGAUGUUGGAUUAAAAUUUAAUUUAGGUGCAGAAGCUUAAAAUUUAGGUCUGUUCGACCUUUAAAAUUUUACAUGAUCUGAGUUCAGACCGGCGUGAGCCAGGUUGGUUUCUAUCCUUAAAACAAUAAAAAUUUUUAGUACGAAAGGAUUAAAAUUUUAUAAUAAUAUUAUAUAUAAAAAUAACUUAUGAAUUUUAUUAAUAUUAUAAAUUUAUU